rnacentral:rRNA from 11 species
UAAACGACUCUCGGCAACGGAUAUCUCGGCUCUCGCAUCGAUGAAGAACGUAGCGAAAUGCGAUACUUGGUGUGAAUUGCAGAAUCCCGUGAACCAUCGAGUCUUUGAACGCAAGUUGCGCCCGAAGCCUUCGGGCCGAGGGCACGUCUGCCUGGGCGUCAC